GACAGAGGGUGCAAACGUUGUUCGGAAUUACUUGGCGUAAAGCGCGUGUAGGCGGCUAUGCAAGUCGGAUGUGAAAGCCCUCGGCUCAACCGGGGAAGUGCACCCGAAACUGCAAAGCUAGAGUCUCGGAGAGGAUCGUGGAAUUCUCGGUGUAGAGGUGAAAUUCGUAGAUAUCGAGAGGAACACCGGUGGCGAAGGCGGGUCUCUGGGCCGAUACUGACGCUGAGGAGCGAAAGCGUGGGGAGCGAACAGG
rnacentral:rRNA from 1 species